rnacentral:lncRNA from 1 species
GGGAAAGGAAGUUAAAAAAAAGCUAAAUUACAUAAAAUUCUCCUGUAAUAACCCGCUUUUUCACUUUUUUCCUCUUACAUUUAAAAAUCUACACUUCGCCCCUUGUAAAAUGAAAAAUAUUCACAGUGGAGUUACGAUGUGUAAAAUGACCAUUUUGCCUCUCGCCAUUGUCGUCUUCUUUCCCAUCUUCCUCAGCCGUCCCUUUGUUCGGCUGCGAUUCCCACCUCAAUCGGCCGCGAUUUCUCUCCAUUUCCUUCUUCACCUGCUCCCCUUCUCUUCCUGCACCCUCGCCGCUCUCGAUUUCGGCGACAGUAGGAGAAAACCGAGGUGGGCGACAGUAGGAGAAGGGCAAAGAAGGCAAAGGCGAGGCAGCGGAGGACGGCGAAGGGAAUGUAGGUGAGGGUGAGGCAGUGGAGGACGACGAGGCGGCGAGGCGGCGAGGCGGCAGCGAGGUGGCGAGCCGAAGGAAAUCGAAGCAACAGGGAGAUGACGGAAGGGUAUUUUCGGCAUAAAAAUAUAUUUUUUAACGGAACCCUAAUGGUAGGGGAUGAAGUGCAUAUUUUUUAUUUUACAUGGGGACAAAAUAUAGAUUUUUAAAUGUCAGAGAGGGAAAGUGAAAAAGCGGGUUAUUACAAGGGAGUUUUUUGUAAUUUAGUCUAAAAACAAUCAAAAUAUUUUUUUUGUCUUUAACCUUCUAAGAAGGAUAAGUUAAAAAAAUUAAAAAAUUUCAGGAGUAUAAAAGUAAUUGUCUUUAAUGAUUAAUGAUGAGGCAUGAAAAAAAAAGACGAGAUUACAAAAAACUCCCUCUAAGAAGGAUAAGUUAAAAAAAUUAAAAAAUUUCAGGAGUAUAAAAGUAAUUGUCUUUAAUGAUUAAUGAUGAGGCAUGAAAAAAAAAGACGAGAUUACAAAUUUUAAAUUCUAAGAAAGAAUCUGCAUCUCAAAUACAGAGAUAAGCACAAACAAUUUGCUUGAGCAUUUUAUCUUAUUUUAGCCUUUCCCAAAAUAAAAGUGUAAUUUGUUUUUUCCUUUAUCAAACUCUAUAUAAACUCAGUUCAAAUGAAAAAUAAAAUUAAAACAAAAAACAAAUAAAAAACAAAGAGGGAAUCAAAACACAAGAAUUAAGGAGGAUCAUAAGUUGCUGAACUUCUCUCAGGCUUUCUCGGCUAAAAAAACAAAAAAAAAAAAAACUGGAAGCCCACGACCGCAUCUUAUGCCACCUUUUGAGGUUGUCAGAGAGCCCAUAACUUGUACUAAUAUUACAUACAGCUAGGGGUGGAAACGAGACGAGCUAGAGCGAGCUUAUGUCAGCUCAAAUUCGGCUUGAAAUUAAUUUCGAGCCUAAAUCUAGGCUCAAGCUCGGCUUGAAAUCAAUUCGAGCCGAGCUCGAGCGAGCCUAAUUUCGAGUCGAGCCGAGCUCGAGCUCUAAACGAGCCGAUUGAAAUUCUUGACAUUAUAUAAUCAAUAGUUUAAUUUUUAUAGAACAUUACCUACAAUUUGAUGCAACAUGUCCAAUAGUUCAAAAUACAAAAUAAUUAUAAGAAAUGUGAGUUAGGGUGACUUCCUGACUAGAUGAGGGUCUGAGAGAGAGAGAGAGAGGAAAAAAAGUAGGGAUUUGGAAAUUUGAAUGUUAUCAUAUUUUAGGGUUAUGUGCAACAGUGAAAGUCUGAAAGAGAGAGUGUGUUAUGUAAAUUUAGAGUUGGGCUCAAUUGUACGAUUAUACUUGUUGGGUUUAUUUUAUGGGCCAACAAUAAUGGCCCAAAUUAAAUUAAAGCCUAUAUAUAAUUAAAAUGGAUUAUAUUUAUAAAUAUCAUCCCCAUGUUGCUAUCACGUUUUUAGCCAUUGGAUCUACUUUUUUAUUACAAAUAGCCCUCGGAUCAAACACUUUUCCACCUACCACCACUUACCAUCAUCAUCUCAACCUCACAUCUCUCCAUCCAAGGGCUAAAAACACACAAGUAUCACUUGGGUGAUACUUGUAAAAGUAUUCAGCCGUUCAAUUUUAGACUACUUGUUUGAUAGGUAAAUGAUAUCGAAAAAUUAUGAAAUUUAGUUUCUAAAUACUUUCAAUAGUGUAGAUCAACUCUACCGGAGCCGAUCGUCGAUUUGGAAGCCACAUCAUCGAAAACAACUUGGUAGCACGGAGCGCUCCGUGCUACCGAUAGUAUAGUAGCCUAGCUCAUAUAUAGUAUGAUAUAUAUAUAUAUAUUAUAUAUAUAUAGUUAGAGUCCAGCUGCUAUACUUUUAUGAGUAUUGGCUCCUUUAUACUCAUAAGUUUUCGACCCUUAGAUUUAUUCAAUUAAUCAUUUUUAUCCAUUAGAGCAUACUAUUUAACCAACUACCACUCAACCCUAGGAGAACCACUAUCAUUCUAAAUGAGGCCACCAUCAUCCUAAACAACAUUCCAUCAAUCAACGGUUAAAAUUUAUGAGUACAAGGGGGUCUAUACUCAUAAGAGUAUAAUAAACCCCAGCAAUAUUAUAUAUUAUAUCUAUAUAUAUAUAUAUAUAAUAUAUAAUAUAAUAUAUAUAUAUUAUAUAUUAUUACUUAUAUAUAUAUUCGAGCUUUUCGAGCUUUUCGAGCUUAAUUCGAACGAGCCGAGUAAUACUCAAGCUCGGCUUGAAAUGAAUUUCGAGCCUUUUAUUUUGUUCAAGCUCGGCUCAUUUAAUUUCGAGUCGAGCUCGAGCGAGCCGAAUAUCGAGCCGAACACGAGUCGAACACGAGCCGGCUCGCUCGUUUGCCAGCCCUACAUACAGCUAGGUUAAAUGUUCAAAACCCCCUACAACUUUUUGGUGUAUGACAUUUUUUUUUUAUCAUGUUAAAAAUUUAUUAUUAAAUUUCUAAGUCACUUAUUAAAGAUCAUCUGCCGCUGAGGACCCACAUUACACUACUAAGUCAGAAAAAGCUGAGUUGAUAAAAUAUAGAGAUAUAAAUUCUAAGCAAACUAGUGUGAUCUGAAUAACGUGUUAUUACUUACGAAAAUAAAUAAAAUUUUUUUAUUAUUACAUUUCAUGUUAGCACAGAAUGUAUUUUAUUGAUGGUUUUAGAUAGAGGCUUAACAUGUUUACGUCGUUUAUAUGCAAGAAUAUCGUGUAUUAGUGUUUCUAUAAUCUGAUUUAAAAAAUUUGCAAGGAAAAUAAAAAAUGGUUUAAUUUUGGGUAUUUAAAAGAGUAAUUAUUUUGUUUCUCUCCAAGGCACACUGAUGAGAGAGGAUCAUCUCUCUCUCUCUCUCUCCACUCAAAACCCUUAACUUGAUGUCCCAUACCCCCUUUUGAUUCCACACGGUUUCACAGCUAAGCUUAAUAAUCAUGCAGAGAGAGAAAAGGUUAAAAGAUGAAGAGGAAAUAAAACAAAAAAAUGAGAAGAAAUAAAUAUUCAUGAGCUCUAUAUAAUCAUCACCUCCAUUAGCAAUGAUCCUUUUUUAGAGAACAAUUUCUAAGCAACUUCUCUUAUGAGAGAGGACCCAUAUCUCUUUGUAAAAGUUAAGUUCCCUUUACAAAGCCUGUCAUAUAAUAAUAAACUUUUAUGUUGACUUGCUCUCUACAAAGCCUGUGAAGCUCUCAAAGGCCAAGCAAAGGGCAUUAUAAGACCCCUCCAAGAAAGUUCCUUUUAACAAAGGGCUUUUUGUGCAUUACACUUCUUAGUUUUCGAAUAUCGCACCUAAAUCCUCUAUUAUUGGUUGCUUCUUUUUUAUCCGAACUAGUAUAAGAUUCUUUUUGUGCAACGAUUCAGUCUAUUAGCACUAACAACUUAUUAAUUAGUCUCAGACCAACACGUACUGGUCCAAAAUAUUUGUUCUUAGAUUAUUAGUAUUAGCGUAUAUACUUAGUCUUUUUGUAUCCCCGUAAUGCAUUUCCAUCCAAUAUAAGACUACUAGCUAGGGUGUUAUAGUUUGGCCCUACGAACUGCUUCUAGUUUUUAACCUGUAAUUUAUAUUUGGCGACAAAAAUUAUCUAGAAUUUUUGCGGUAAUCAGAAGUAGAAAUACAAUUUUAACGUCCCCGCUACUUCCACAACGUUUCUGUGUGCCAAUCCCGCUCCAGUAAAGUAAAAGCUACUAGUUGAACCUGGGCUUUUGCUGUAGAGAGAAAUACUGUGCAUGCAUGGGUACGUGUCGUGCGUCUCUCAGUAUGUAACACGUCCGAAUAAUAUUUUAUUAAAUAAUACUAAGCCACGUAUGUUGCUGCAUGGUUCUCAACCAAAGUUUAGUAGACUAGUAUGAGAAAUAUGCUACCUAACAUAAGGUUCUCCACCAAAGAUGUGAGUGAGCCCACAAUGGAGGAGGACACUUGGAGCUGAGCAUAUGUGCUCUCACAAUAUUAAAGCAAGGUGAAAGGGAAAGAACACACACUCUCCUUGGUUCCUUAUCCAUGUCCCCUUGUGGAGGAGUGGAGAACAAUAACUUUCCCACCAAGGAAAAAGUGAUGGGCUUUUCCUUUUAAAAAAGAUGCCUUUAUGGUUCCUAAAUUUUUUUAAAUGGAAACACAAAGCACCACUCAUUUUUGUCAAGAUACCAUGCAAUAAUAUGGCCCUCAAAUUUGUCUACUUACUAAAGUGUUGGAGGGAGAGAGAGAGAGAGAGAGAAAGAGAGAGAGAGAGAGCCUAGGUUGCUUAGUGGGGAGUUUAAAAUAUGUGAGAGAGAGAGAGAGAGAGAGAGAGAGAGAGAGAGAGAGAGAGAAGGGGGGGGGAUGCCCACUGACUCAUAAAUUGAUUUGUUGAGAUUUAAAAAAAUGCUUCUUUUAUUGCACAAGCAUAUAUGCAGGUGGAAUCAUGGUUGAAAAUUUAACAUUUGGAAAGUAGGGUAUGGAAUGGAAUAUAUUCAUUAACUGUAAUGACUCUGAUCACUUUUUUAGUUAAUUUUUGUUAUGAUAAAAGCGAAAAAAUAUUUAGUUCGCCGAAUACAAAUAUACUAAAAGAUAUCCGAGAAGGAGGAAAGAAUAAUAAAUCACAUAAAAUUCACGUGAUUCGGCCACAGGACUAUGCACACAGGCGAAAACGAAGCUGAAAUCUUCAUUAUAAUCAAAGUAGUGUACAUAAUAUGCCUCUUUCUCAAAACUUGUCUCAAAAAAUACAUAUAUACUUCUUAUCAUCUGCCGCACUAAAUUAAUAGAAUAAAUGAUAUAUUUAUGAUAGCGGUUAUAUCCUAAUACAAGUAGGAAUAUAAAUCCACUAAGACAAAAAAUAUCUUAAUUAGGUUAGACAUAAUCUAAACUUAACUUAAGAUAACCAAAAUAGAAUAGAGUUAGAAAAUUUUGCGGUUCUAAAAAUCGAGACAUACUGUAGUUUAAUUUGGUUAGUCUUAGUGACUCUAAUCACUUCUUACUAUAUUUUAUUAUAAUUUUACUAAAUUUAAUGACUCUGAUCUCUAUUUAGUAAGUAAAGUUGUAAUGAAUUUAUAAUUAAUAGUGAAUAGAAUAAUUUAACUUAACAAAAUACUCGAAUUCUUAAUUUAGUCAUAUAACUUAAAGUAAAAAUGUAUAAAGUUACCACAAUUAUCGGUCAUUUUGAUCCAAUGAUUCUGACCUUUCAAAAUUUUGAUUUUUUUCCCUUUAAUUUAUUUGAGUUGAGCCAAUUAAUAACUCUUUUACUUCAAAUUUUGAAUCCCUUAUAUAUCUUCAGGAGCUUAACUAGCAUAUUUUAUGCAAUUUAUGUAACUAUAAGUUUGUUAAAAUGAGUUAUUAGUUUAAAUUUUGUGACGAAAAAGUCAUCAAAUAAUUUAUAUCAAAUAAAUUGAAAUGUAGAAUACUAACAUCAAAAUUUUGAAAGAUUAAAUAGUCGAAUCAAAAUGGUAUAUAGUUUAGAUACGUAAAUUCUUCACUUUUAUACCCCAACUUAAAUCAAAGAAAUUAGAGGUUGUGUAGGUAUUGUUUAAAAAUUAAAACAAAUGUUGAGGAUCUUUUUCAAAAAAGGUAAUAGUUGAGGGGGUUUUGUAGUACAACUCUAGUUUAAAAGUCUUAAUUAAUGUUGCAACACUUUAAUAUAUUGGCCCAAGUAGGAUAGUACAAAUUAAUAGAGCACCCAUGGGAAUUUCUUUUUGCCAAACUCAUCAUUUAGUGAAAAUUUAAAAAUAACCAAAUUCUUAUUCUUAGCCACCACUAAUUCUUUAAUUAAUUAGUUAAUCACAAUCAAACCCCAAAUUAUGGGGAUGGAUUCAUAAAUUGUAUGCCAAACAUAUUAUAUGUUAUCCUUCUUACAAGUUUAUCCAUUAAUCACUUACUUUAGCUUUUGAUUUAUAUUGUUUUAGCUUUGAGAAUAAGAGCAAAAUUAAAUUAGGACUAUAAGUUGGCGUGAUAUUAAAGUUACGCAAUGAAAAAUCUUUGGGGUUUUUUUUUUGUGAGAUGAUUUGAAUUCCAAUAAAUGGUUGUUGUUAUGUGGAAAUUAAAGUAUUACUUUUCAAAACAAAAUAAGGAAUAGUUGAAUUUUAAAACUUUUUACUCUAAUAUUUGCUUUCUUUUGUUUUAUAUGUUCCACCUAACGGUGGGAUCGAUCUUCAAAAUUUGAGUAUAUUUGGUUUUUGAUUGGAACGAGAGUAAAAAAUAAAAUUAGAUUGUAUUGAAAUAAAAAAAUAAAAUAACGAAUCAUCCAAAAACAUUUGGUUCAUUAUUAAAAUAUAAAUCAAAAUUGACACCUAAGAUUUUGAGAGAGAAUUUUGUUUAAAGGAUAGGAGAAGGUAUUUGUAAGUAAGAAUUUUGAAGAGGAUUUUUAGUUUACUUCAGCCCGAAAUGAAUUGGAUCAUUUCUACUCUAGAGUGGAAUGAGAAUCGAAAUUCGAUUUCUGUAAAACAAACAACAAUUACCGAAAUUAGUGAGACACAUUCAGAUUUUAGAGUCUAAAGUAGGUGCAUCUAACGAGGCCUUAAUGAUUUAGAUUAAAGUUGUCAUUCAACAAAGAAUACAACAGUGAAGAACAUUAAAUAUAACAAAAACAACCAUCUUAAACUACAAUAAGGAGAUUAUAAGAUGACAUUUGACCACCUAAAAAGCAAUUAAGGAGAGAGACAAUGAGUGAUCUUCAGGGCACAUCGGCAACUUGACAUCAUAGCUCAUCAUUGUUUGAAGAAACCCUCAACAACUAAAUCUGCCAAUGUUAAUGACGUCCAGAAGAGAAUCCAAUUAUUCUGUUUGCCAAAUGCAGAACUUCUGCAUAUUUCAGAAGCAGAGUCAAAUGGACACAAACUUACAACUCUUUAUCUGCAACUCUCUACGAACUGAAAAAUACAACGAAGGAUUCCUAAAUAGAUUUGGGUAGAGGCUUAAAUACUCUACAAUCAUCUUAUCGAACAAAGUGAUCAAUGAUAGAGAGGCUUCGGAUGAGGGUAGUGAAGUUACAUCAACAACAAAUUUACUUAGCAAUGUGUGUAUGAUUCUUUUAAUUCAAAUGUGGACAAAAAUGUUUAAACAGUAUCUUCUCGAGUAGUAUCUUCAGAACCCUUCACUUCUAGUUGCAAUUGAGUGAAAGCAGAGAGCAUAGCUGAUCUCGCAUUUGCCAUCUCUACUAUCCUUUCCAAUGCUGCAGCGCGCGCGAGAGAGAGAGAGAGAGAGAGAGAGAGAGAAUACUACAUAAGAUGUAGAUUAAAGAACAAAUUUUGAGAGGAUACCAAAAGAAAAAGGGAGAAAAACCUGUCUCAAAUGAAGAUUGAGCUGUGCGAAGUUUUGGAGAAACCAAUGUUCCAAAUACUGCUAGGGAUUUAGCCCUCUCUUUCUGGACCUGGGUACAAAAUAAGAAGUGUUACGAAAAUAUAUUGAGAAAAAGGCAUAUUGCAUAGAAACUAUGAUCAUGCAUGUUGUGGAUUAUAAAUGGCUGAAAAUGGAAGUAGACUGAUUCGGGGAUGUACAACAAACUAAACCACUAAUGUGGAUACAUCAUAUUUUAUAAAGUUCAUAUCUAUUAUUGAGAAAUUCCAUAAUAUAACUAUCAUCGAAUUUACUUCUUGUUUUGAUACAAUUUCCUUCCCCCAAAAAAAAGAAGAAAAAAGUAAGGAUCUACUCACAUCUUUGGAAAAAGAAAGUUGAGGUCCGUUUCCAGACGAGUUAGAUUCCUCCCUUUCACCUAAAACAGAAGAACACACAAUAAUCUGUAUAAAUCAACACUACCGACAAUCAGAUUCUGAAAGAGAUUGAAAAAGGAAACUGCAAAAAUACCCAAGAUAUUGGAUGCUGCCCGAUGCCUUAGUUGCGACUGAUUAGACUUCUUUUGCAUUGAAUCUAGCUCUAUCUCCUCAGAAGAACACCUAUCUUCUUGCGUACCCCAUUUAGAAAGAGUAAAAUGUGGAUUUGGUUCUGAAUCAUGACAAAUGAUCUUCGUAAGUUAUAUAGUAUGGGUGCAUUAACUAUAGUCUGACUAAUUUUUUUAUAGCGCUGACGGCAACCUAUUAGAGGAUUUUAGAAAGUUGAAUGAGAAGAAAUAGCAAGUUCAAAAUCAAUCGAUAUUACAGAAACAAUCAAAAUACAAAUUGACGGACUAAAAUGCCGAAAUUGAAGAUACCAGGAUGAGAUUCAAGCCAGGCCCAAAAAAAAACCAUAAAUCACCUGAAAGAGAACUAUCGAGUGAAUCGGUUACUUUUAGGGUGGUGGCAGCAGAUCGUACUUUAUGAUCAAAUAAUGCGCUCGAAAUGCGUGACGAACCCAUAGAAUGGCGAGCACAGGCCAGUUCCAGCCAUCCCUGCUAACAAAGAAAAUUGAAGCCUCUUGAUGGAGCCAUGAAAAGGAACAUAACAUUUUUUAUUUUAUUUUUUUCACAUGCUAAAACAUUCCAGAUUAAAAAGUUGGAAAUUUACAAAAUCCACCAUGGCUUCAACUUUAUAAACAAGUGAUAAUAAUGAGGAAUUUAACUAUGAAAAGAGACUGGAUAUUUACAUUUGAAAAAGGUUACUAUUGGCGCCGCGACAAAGGUUUAGGUCUUUUUCCUAUGCCAUCCAUUGAAUCCCUAAUCGCAAUAUAUCCGUAAUAAUCAACCAAAUAACAUCGCCGCCACCAUAAUCGCCACCAUAAACACAGUUAUGACGAACCUUUAAGAGCUCACCUUUGUCAAUAUAAACACCAUCAAAUGUUCAUUACCAUGCCACAUUCUACUAUCUUAUUUUUUACUCUUUUUUCUCCUUAGGUUGUUAAAUCCCCAAAAAAGCUCACAUUUUGACGCAAUUCAUACAACUUGAUGUGAAAAAUUUCUAAGUUAUGGAUUACUAAACCAAUCAAUGCAUCUUUCUUUACCCUAAAAUAUAAAUUUACUUCCUACGUCACUGCAUCGCCGCAAAGGAAAUGAUUGCCUCAAUUAUGAUUAUGCGCAAUUUACAAAUCUUACUAAUUAGCAAUACAAAACCACGCAAUGUGAUUAAAACAUAAUAAACAACACAAAAUGAUUUUUUUUUUUCACAAAAUUCGAAUAUUUCAUUAGGAAUUGCAUUAUGCAAGUAACUAAUUGCAUCUAAAGCAUGAAAAAACAAAAAGAUCACUUAUAAAGCAAAUAAAGGAAAAUUUGACUUAAAACUCCAUCCAAAUUAGCGAUUUGGGUGUUGCAAAAGAGAAAUUAACGCGAUUACAUGAAAAUUUGGGGGAAAAGAUAUCCCGAAAACUAGGGUUUUUUAAUUUUAAAUUUUUAAAAAUUUUUGUACCUGGCGAAGAGCGGAAGAGAGGGAAUCGAUGAGAACGAGAUAUGCGUCGAAAGAGUCGAGAAACUUCAAAACCUUCUCAUCCUCCCCUUCUUCGGAGUCGGCGCCGGGUUUGCAUUCGGUGCCGACUUUUUCUGUAGCUUCUUCUUCGGCGCCGUCAUCCUCGUCUUCGUCCUCGCGAGGGACGGGGACGAUCUGGUCCAUCUCCGGCAUCCAGAUCGGAAAAGUGCGGUGCGUGUGCGAGGUGCGAGGUGGAGUGUGCGUGAAUGGAGUAAUUAUCACAACUAAAUUAGAAAAUGGGCCAAAGUGGGCCGCAACAGGGCCCAUUAUGGAAUCAAGUUAUUAUGGAGUUAUAAUUUACCAGCAACAAUCAGCAAAAAUUUAAACUUUCUAGAUUUUAGAUUUCAUGAUUUUUUUUAAAAAUUAUUUAUCUACCAUUUAAGUAGCUAAUAUAAAAUGACUUUGACAAUACUUGGUCAUUAGGCAAACGAUAAUAUAAACGUCUCAAGAAUCAAUCUUUCAUUCAGAUGCUCCAUUGCCGAAAACGAUGUGGAAGUAACUGAUCCCUCAUCAGGAAGCAAGAUGCUGUUUCUUUUUUUUUUUCCCCCAACUUUUUUUUGCGAGGUCCCCUCUAUCUCUCAAUCUCUUUUCUCUCCAUUUUGAUCCCUUCUACAACACCAAAAAAAAAACUUUUUCUAAAUUUAUACCACAGUAGUUUUCCUUCCAUUAGAAAGAAUUUGGCUGCAGAAAACAGUUCUGCAGCAGUUUUAUGCACACCUAUGGAGAACUAAACAGAUCUGAUCAAACAUCUUUUACAGGACAUGGUGUCAAAUUACAAAUGAUUAUGAAGAUCCAUUAACAUGUGGCUUGCAAACAAUUAGGGCAUGUUCCGUUCAUGAUUGGAAUAGAAUGAAAACUGACAUUGGAUUGUUUUGGAAUGGAAAAUGAAAUGAUGAAUCAUUUAAAAAUAUUUGGUUUAUUAUUGAAAUGAAAAUCUUGAUUAAGAGAGAAAAAAGUGACGAAGAGAGAGGAGGGUGGGUGGUGGUGAAAGAAAAUUUUAAAUAAUUUACUUUGGAAUGAGCUAAUCCAGGAUUCAAAGUCGGAUUUGAUCAUAAAUAAAUUUGGUCAUUCUUAUUCCGGAGUGGAAUGGGAAUCGAAAUCGAAUUUCUAUAAAACAAACGGCAACUAUCGAAAUCAAUAAAUUCCAUUUCGAUUUCAUAAUCUAAAAUAAGUGAACCAAACAUGCCCUCAGAAGCUUCUACCUUUCUCUUGCUCUUAGUUUAUAGCAUUUCCCAUACUAGAUUCAUCACCCUUCCGACAAGAGAUACUAGGAUGAUAAUACAUUAUACAGGAUUCAUGAAAGGGAAAGCAAACAACUAUGAAGUGUGAAGAGAAGCAAUGUCGCAUGAAGAGUCGAAAAACACUUCUGGAUAAAGCUUUACUAGCAAACCAGAAUCAUCCGCUACAACGGAAAUUUACAAGAAAACCUCAAAAACUUGUUCAAGGUUACUAACAAAAGAUUAACUUGUGCAGUAAUGUAUGAAUAUUCGAAUACAGACCCGCCAUAUUUUCAGUCAAAUUAUGAGCCAGUUUCGAAGAUUCAAAGUUCAGUGUAGUUUUCAUAUAUCAAGACGCUAUUUGCUCGAUUGACUCAUAUUUCUCAUACUCCUAAUACCAACUCCAGUAACAUACACAAACUCAUAAGACAACAUGAUCACAUGAGCAAUAUAUAUUGAUUAGUUGAUUGUCGACAACUAGAAAAUGGAGCAUCUCUUUCUCUCGAUCAUCACAACACAAAACCACCAAGAGAUGCAAAUAACUUAAUGAGGAAUAAUCCGAAACAGCAUCUUUUAAAGAUCUUUAACGACCUGGAUGCCCAUCGAAUUAGCCGUGCCGAUGAUCGACUUGCAGAUGGCCUCGAGCGGCAUGUGCUUGCAGAACGGAUCGGACUGCUUCACCUUUGCAAUCUCGUACACGUGGCUGAGCAUGAUGGAGGAGACGACCGUGUGGCCCGGCCGGCCGCUGCCUGACUCGAUCCCCGCAGCCUUCUUAAGAAACCACGUGACCGAUGGUGACUUGACGGUGAACUCAAAUGUAUUGUCCUUAUAAGCCGUAAUGGUGACGGCCAUAGGCGUGUCCGGCUUGUAUUUUUGAGUUCUCGCAUUGAAGUCCUUGCAGAAGGCCAUUAGGUUCAGCCGAUACUGACCGAGCGCAGGCCCGACAGGUGGGGCUGGCCGGGCAGCUCCGGCUGGCACGGUGAGCCGUAUCGUGGCUGCGAUGGGCCGCCGGGCAACAACAUCUUUGAGAGUCGCCAUAGCUGAUUUAUAAAACCUAGAUUCAAAACACUUCAAUCAAAAUUCUCCAUUUCCACACCAUUUUUUUUUAAGUACAGAUCAAAAUUCUAUCCAUUCACAUGGUAAUUUACUCAAGAAUGAAAGUAACAGCCCGAAAGAUUUAUGAGUAAUUUGUAACUCUGCGCUUCAGAUUGAUAGCAGCACAUCACAAAUUUACAGCAAAUAGGGUUAACAAAUAUUACAAUUUUUUUUAAAAACAAUUAAGUAGUUUUCUUUGGUAGAGUUUUUUAAUCGAACUGGUGGCGGGCACUCUUGGUUUUCAGAUAAAAACCAAAACCUAAAGCCAGUUCAAUCUCUCUUCGAACUGAUUCCGAAGCAAUACUACACGUAAAUCGAACUGAAACCGAUUCGAGCAUUUCGUAAGAGCUUAUUCCAUGAGAUUAGAUCGUAAAAGCUUACAAAUCCCUGUUCUAAUGUGCAAAAUCCAAUCUUGAUGAUUCUAAUCCUUCUAUACUCCAACAGAGUACACUUGGCUUACGCAUUGCACAUCAAAUAGGAAGCAGAUCACCAAAAAAAACAAAAAAAAAAAGAAAAAAAAAGGUUACAUGAAUGGGAAUUGGGGAUUUAAACCUAAUAUGAAUCGAAUCAAAUUCUUAGUAGAACUACAAUUACCUCAAGCUCCUUAGAUUGGAAUCGAGAAGCGAGGUUUCGGCGCCGUCGAAUUCGCAAGAGAGGUGAGAGAUGCACGAAGGGGAUCGGGGUUUCGUUCGCUCUCGUGUAGAAACCCUAGAUAGGGGUUUAAAGGGCCUAAACCAUUUGAACCGGAAAAUUUUGUUCAAGGAGCCCCGUGACCCGCAUCAAAUAACUACUUUUAAUAUUUCAGAAGCACUAGUUUGCUCGUUAGUGGUUCAAAAAAAUACACUUAAAUAUUCUAUAAUUUUACUUUUUUAAAAUCAAAAAAGUUUUCAUCAAGUAGAAUAGUAAAAGAAAUUUAUUUUGAUAACUACAUAGUAGUUAAAUACAAUUUUCGAGCCACAGAGUGACAAAAUGAUAUUUCUCUUUUCAUUCAAUUGAAGUUGUUAUAUUUAGUGAAAUUUAAUCUAGAGACUCUAACAUUAUUAUAAUUUGUACAGUUUUAAACUAAAGGAUUACCUUAAAUUUUGCCCAAACAUUAAAGCACGAAGGUUGACAUUUACAAAAAAAAAUUCUGGUAAAAUGAUAAGAUAAAUAAUGGGUAGAAAAUUGAAUGGCACAUUUAAAUGUUGUAAUGAAAUACUAUCAAAAUUAAGAUAACACUUUUGAAGGGAAAAAAAUUUUAAAAAUGGCCCAUGCAGGUCUCGAACCUGCGACCUUCGCGUUAUUAGCACGACGCUCUAACCAACUGAGCUAAUAGGCCAAUUUAAUAAAAUAUUUAUUACUGUGUUAAUGAAUAAUAUGACUAUAAAGCCUUUUUGGUAAUUUUGACCCGAAAAUUUCGAGUACUAAACGAAUAAGAGGAGAGAGUUAUGUUUUGGCGUGAGUAUGGUGGGAUAGAGUGGGAUUUUUUUUACUCGAAUCACAUUUAAUCUCAAUUUUUUCCAAGUAUUUUACUAUAUCAGAUUCGGUAUUUUUCAUCCUUUUGCAAUUUCUGCUCUAAAUAUCGAAGUGGCUAUAACUAUAUUAUCAACGGUCUCUAGGGAAACUGUUUCCAAGUUCAAAACUUGAUUACUUUACAUUUUUCUCCAGCUAAGUUUAUUUCUAAUUAAUAUCAUCAUUAAAUUUGAUGAAAAUGCGCACAAAUGGUCUAAUUUACUUUUAAAAAUAUUCUAUCAUUAUUUUAUAUACAUAUACACAUGUACACACAAGCAUGCAUGCAUGUUUCUCAACUUUUAACAUGCUUGUGAGUUUUUAGCUUUUAUAAUGCUUCAAGAUCCAUGCAAUAUUAAAAAAAACUUAAAAUUUCUGCGUAGAUCUUAAAGCAAUCCAACGACUAAAAAGUUGUAAGCAUAAAUGCAUGCAUCCGUGCAAUUAAAAUCACAGAAGCUUAACUCUAUAUAAGUAGACUCUACCAAGCACUCUUAUCCCUCUUCUUUAUCCUCACCAUAAGCCCAUAUUUCAUGUGAAGUAUGAUGGCGAGCUUUGGCUCCACCACAUGCCCCUCCACCACCUCUACCUGAAAAUUGUAGAGCAUCGCGGCCACCACCGUUUUCAUCGUGUUGAAGGCCAUCUCCUUCCCCAGGCACGACCGCGGUCCGCAGUUGAACGCGAAGAACUUGUGCGCCGGCUCGUGCUUUAUCUCGCUACCGCUGCCGCUGCCGCCGCCCGCCGGCACAAUCNAAGUAGAAUAGUAAAAGAAAUUUUUUUGAUAACUACAUAGUAGUUAAAUACAAUUUUCGAGCCACGGAGUGGCAAAAUGAUAUUUCUCUUUUCAUUCAAUUGAAGUUGUUAUAUUUAGUGAAAUUUAAUCUAGAGACUCUAACAUUAUUAUAAUUAGUACAGUUUUAAAUUAAAGGAUUACCUUAAAUUUUGCCCAAACAUUAAAGCACGAAGGUUGAGAUUUACAAAAAAAAUUCUGGUAAAAUGAUAAGAUAAAUAAUGGGUAGAAAAUUGAAUGGCACAUUUAAAUGUUGUAAUGAAAUACUAUCAAAAUUAAGAUAACACUUUUGAAGGGAAAAAAAUUUUAAAAAUGGCCCAUGCAGGUCUCGAACCUGCGACCUUCGCGUUAUUAGCACGACGCUCUAACCAACUGAGCUAAUAGGCCAAUUUAAUAAAAUAUUUAUUACUAAGUUAAUGAAUAAUAAGACUAUAAAGCCUUUUUGGUAAUUUUGACUCGAAAAUUUAGAGUCCUAAAUGAAUAAGAGGAGAGAGUUAUGAUUUGGCGUGAGUAUGGUGAGAUAGAGUGGGAUUUUUUUGACUCAAAUCACAUUUAAUCUUAAUUUUUUCCAAGUAUUUUACUAUAUCAGAUUCGGUAUUUUUCAUCCUUUUGCAAUUUCUGUUCUAAAUAUCGAAGUGGCUAUAACUAUAUUAUCAACGGUCUCUAGGAAAACUGUUUCCAAGUUCAAAACUUGAUUACUUUACAUUUUUCUGCAGCUAAGUUUAUUUCGAAUUAUAUCAUCAUUAAAUUUGAUGAAAAUGCACACAAAUGGUCUAAUUUACUUUUAACAAUAUUCUAACAUUAUUUUAUAUACAUAUACACAAGUACACACAUGCAUGCAUGCAUGUUUCUCGACUUUUAACAUGUUUGUGAAUUUUUAGCUUUCGUAAUGCUUCAAGAUUCAUGCAGUAUUAAAAAAAAAAAGAUUAAAAUUUCUGCGUAGAUCUUGAAGCAAUUCAACAACUAAAAAGUUAUAAGCAUAAAAUGCACCGGUGCAAUUAAAAUCACAGAAGCUUAACUCUAUAUAAGUAGACUCUACCAAGCACUCUUAUCCCUCUUCUUUAUCCUCACCAUAAGCCCAUAUUUCAUGUGAAGUAUGAUAGCGAGCUUUGGCUCCACCACAUGCCCCUCCACCACCUCUACGUGAAAAUUGUAGAGCAUCGCGGCCACCACCGUUUUCAUCGUGUUGAAGGCCAUCUCCUUCCCCAGGCACGACCGCGGCCCACAGUUGAACGCGAAGAACUUGUGCGCCGGCUCGUGCUUUAUCUCGCGACCGCUGCCGCUGCCGCCCACCGGCACGAUCCACCGCUCCGGCCUGAACUCCAUGCAAUCCUCCCCCCAUAUCCCCUCCAUCCUCCCCAUGGAAUACAGGUGGAAUAUCAGUAUCGUCCCCGGCCGCACCGCGUGCCCACUCGGCAGCACGUCGGCCCUCGACACCCCCUUGUGCUCGAUUGCCACCGGCGGGUACAGCCGCAGGCACUCGCACAGCGCCGCGUGCAAGUAAACGAGCUUUCCGAGCGCCUCGCGGUCGAACGGAGUGCUUUCUUCCGAAGCCGGUCGGGGCCAGUUGGCCUUCAGCUCCUCAACGAUCGCCUCCUCGACGUCGGGGUUCUUCGACAGGAGCCAGAAGAACCACGUCAGCGUGACGGCCGUGGUGUCGCGCCCCGCGAGCAGGAGGUUCUUCGCGUUGGCUUGGAGGAAACCGUCGAACUCGACGAAUUCGACCGAGUUCCGGUUGCCGACCGACUGCAGCAUGUACGUCGUGAGGAGAUCGGCCGGCUCGACCGCCUCGCCUUCCUUCGCAACCUCCACCUGCUUCCUCCUUGCCGCGAUUGUCUCAUCGACGAAGGCGUCCAUGACUCUCGCCGCAGCCGCGAGCUUUCGCUCUCUCCCAAUUUCAAGCCACUUCAGUACCUUCCACACGAUCUUCGGAACGACAUGCCGGAAGAAGAUGGCCUCGGAGGCGUCAUCCAGCGCCUUCGCAAACGGGACGGUUGGGAAGCCAUCAGAAAGGCAACCGGGGUCGACGCCGAGGACAAGUGUGCACGUCGUGUCGAAAGUCAACCGCAAGAACACGUCUUGCAGGUCGACCGCCGCGUUUGACUCCGCGAGGUGGCGGAGAAGCGGGAUGAGGCCAUUCUCCACCUUGUCGCGGCUGGCACGGAGCUCAUAAGAUCGAAACCUGUUGUGAAAUAACCAAUUACUCUAAAUAUUGAAGCUACUAGAAAAUAUUAUACUAUCUGAAACACUUGGUGUCUAUAACAAGUUUAACCUAUUAGAGGACCGCGUGUUUUUGAUGUUACAUAUCCAUGCAGUACCUACGGUCGGUCAUGAGGUUGUGGAGCAUCCGCCGCUGCGCGCGCCACGUCUCGCCGUCGGUGUUGAGCAGGCUCUCGCCGAACAGCUCGAACAUGUCGGCAAAGUCCGGGCCCUUCGGGUAGAUGGCGGAGUGCGUGGUGAAGACGUGGUUGACGUUCCCGGGGUCGCAGGUGAAGAGCAUGUCCAUGCGGAGGAGCCAGGGCCAGUGGAAGGCGAAGGACCAGCGUGUUGCGGCGAAGACGUGGACGAUGUGGUCGUGGAGGUGGUGGAGGUGGACGGAAGCGGAGGGGAGCAUGCCGAGCACCGGCCAAUUCACAGGGAGGAUGCUGAGACGGUUUACGCGGCGGAGGUGGAGGAAGAGGAAGGAGAGGAAGGGGAUAAGGAGGAGGAGCAAUGAAGUGCAUGUACUAGUAAUACUAGUGAAGAAGCUAACUAAGUUCACACAUGACCAAGUCCAAACCAUUAUUGUGUGUGUGUGUGUUUGUGUUGAAGAGGGAGAGGUUUAAGUGAUUAGCUCAAGCUUAGGGGAGGGUAAGCAACAAAGAGUUGGGUGAGGUUGGUAUAUAUAGAUAAAAAAUGUAGUUGCUAGGCCCUCCUCAACUAAAAGCCACUGCUCUUUACAAGAAAUUAAAUCUCAUUAUAAUAACGUUUUUUAAAUAACACUCAGAAAAAAGUGUUUCCAAAUAUUCCUACAAUAUUAUAAAUAUUGAUAUUUUAAAAGCAUCGUUAUAUAAUCCGUCUAUUCACCAAACAAUUUUAUUGAAUAAAAAACUUCAUUAUUAUUCUUAAUUUUUUCGCAUUUUAGGUCAAAAUUUUUAAAAAUUUUGAUACUUUAAAAUGUCAGAAUAUAUUUUACUGAUGUUUUGCAUAAGCAUCGGUAUGGUAAUAUUUAUUUACUCACGCUUUGAAAUAUGAUAGUAAAUUAAUUAUUUUGAAAUGCUUUUAACUAUCGUUAAAUACCCAAAAAAUAUUCUUAAAUACAACCAUCAUAUUUUUCUAAUUGUAUUUUUUUACUAUACGUAGUAGAACCUACCAGCAAAUGCCAGAUGGAGGCUGAGACCUUGUCAAAUAUAUACAAGCCAUGUUGAAAUACAUCUUAUUAUUAUUAUUAUUAUUAUUAUUAUUAGUAUUAUUAUUUUAUUUCCAUAAUUCUGCUGAUAUUAAUUAGGAUAUAUAGGUCUGGUUGAAAUAUAUAAUUAAGUUACAAUUAAAACGAGUAGUUGCGUAUAGUAUCCAUAUGCUUUAAAUAAAUUAGUUGCCCUUCUCAUUCAGAUGAACUAUAGCUUCUAGAUUUGUGGUAACGUCGACGAUCGUAAUUUAAUAUUCGUCCGGUUUAGCAAAUUUUUAAUGACAAAAAAUUAUAAUCAGAAUGAAAAAAAAAGAUUUUGUUGCAUGAAAUAAAUUAAUGAUUGAGAACUCAAUAUAAAGCCAAGAUAAUUAUAUGGGAAUACCGACCGUCCCUAGAGCAAACGGUAAAGGGCUUGGUGGUUGGUAUCUGAGGUACCAAGUUCGAAUCCUAGUUGAUUCACAUUUCCAGCUAAGUUUAUUUCUAAAUGAAAUAAACGAAGCGGGUAGCGUGCUACCUAUCUCUCAAAAAAAAAAAAAAAAAAAUUAUAUGGGAAUUAGUAGUGCAAUUAAUCAAUCUGAAUUAAAAAUUGAGGAAAUGUCAAAUAUACAUUAAUAAAGCAUUAAUGCACAAAUAUGCAAUAAUUAAGCUUAAAUUGAUUCAUGCACAUGUAAGCUAGUUAAUGAACACAUCAAUAAUUCGAGAAAUUAAGUCUUGCUUAUAAUUAAUAUUUGUAAUUUUCUUAUGUAGAAAUAGGAACAUUUAAUCAAAAGUUCAUAUCUCGAAUUAAAGUACAAAAAUAUUAUAUUAUUCUUAAUGUAGAAUAUUCUCGAUUAAUCAUCUCACAUGAUACGACAGUUUAAUUAGUGCAAAUCUCUUAUGCAUUCAACCUAGCUAGCGUUCAACCUUCUAAAUUGGUACGUAUGUAACGCACGUACAAUUGAUGAGUUAAUGAAUCAAUUUGAUUGUAGAAAAAAGGGAAAUUUUUUAAAAAAACCCAUGCAAAAUAAAAUUAUAUAUAUCUAAGAUCUAAUUAAUAUAGUACUUAGAACUGCAUGGCACAACAAGAAAAUAAUUAAUGGGAAGUGCUCAUAAUUAACACACCCACUUAUGAGUUUUGAGUAUAUAUACCCAAUUUUGAGUACCACAGUACACACAUUACACAUGCUCAGAGUAAUCUUUCAAAAAAAGGAAAAAAAAAAACAUCCAAAGUCAUGUAGGUGAGUUUAAUUAGUUAGAAACCACACAAUAAUUUUUUUUUUUUUUUUUGAGAUAAAGGUAGCACGCUACCCACUUCAUUCAAUGGGAAGAUGAACUAGGCUAUAAGAGUGGGGCAACUCGGGCCCCUAAAAAAAAAAAAAAAAAAGUACAGGUAGAGAUCACGUAACGCUAGCUGAGAGCAGUGAAUCUCACUCCUUCACCAGCUGAUUUUGACAGCUCACAAUGUGUCACAAUUUAACGGUAGCUGAGAGCAGUGAAUCCCACUCCUUCACCAGCUGAUUUUGACAGCACACAAUAAUUUUGACAGCUCACAAUUUAACAUGCAUGCAUGCAAAAAAUCAUGGUCAUAUUUUGAUUACUUUGUAAUUUAGUUUUCCGUUAGUACUUCGAAGAUGAGAGGAUUGUAAAAUAUGGCACUUUACACACUACAAGAAAAUUAAUAUUUAAGAAUAUUCUUUUAUAUUUAGUAAUAUUUAGAAAAUAUAUUCAAUACCGUACAACAAACAACAAUAUGUUCAUUUACCAUCUGCGUCAUUUCUAGUAAUAGAAUAUCGAGAUCAUUGACCGGCAUUGUGGAAAUUGAUUCACGGUAUGUGAACUUUUUAGGUUUUCAAAUUUCAUAAUUUGACGGUAUCAUCUGCCUGAUAUUCAAAGAGUCUAAAAAUUAAUAAUUUUUAUUGGCUAUCGUAAAGUAAACUUAAGAAUGCUUAAUCACAACAUAAACACAUAAUAUUAAAAAAUUAUAAAUUUUGGUAUCUACGAAGCUCGAAUAAUUUUUAUUAUAAUUAACGAUACUGAUCGUGGAUUCUAAUACCAUGUGGAUUGAAAUGAGCACAAGCAAAUAGUCUGAUUUACUUUUAGAAAGAUUCUAGCUUUACGUUAUAUACAUAUACCCAUGCAUGCAUGCAUUGAGUCUAGUGAGAGAGAGUGUGUUUGUGAUUUUUUAACCAUUACGAACGUCUCAAAAUUCAUAUAUUACUAACAAAGAAGAUUUAACAGAACAUAUCGUUAAUAACUUUAUAUGAAUCUUGAGACAACUUGACAGAUAAAAACUUACAAGCACAAAUACUCCUAUGCCGUUAAAAGUACGUACCAAAGCGCGCUUAACUCUAUAUAAAUAUAUACUCUACCACGAACUCUUAUCCCUCUUCUUUAUCCUCACCAUGAGCCCAUAUUUCAUGUGAAGUAUGAUAGUGAGCUUUGGCUCCACCACAUGCCCCUCCACCACCUCUACGUGAAAAUUGUAGAGCAUCGCGGCCACCACCGUUUUCAUCGUGUUGAAGGCCAUCUCCUUCCCCAGGCACGACCGCGGCCCGCAGUUGAACGCGAAGAACUUGUGCGCCGGCUCGUGCUUUAUCUCGCGACCGCUGCCGCUGCCGCCCCCAGGCACGAUCCACCGCUCCGGCCUGAACUCCAUGCAAUCCUCCCCCCAUAUCCCCUCCAUCCUCCCCAUGGAAUACAGGUGGAAUAUCAGCAUCGUCCCCGGCCGCACCGCGUGCCCGCUCGGCAGCACGUCGGCCCUCGACACCCCCUUGUGCUGGAUCGCCACUGGCGGGUACAGCCGCAGGCACUCGCACAGCGCCGCAUGCAAGUAAACGAGCUUUCCGAGCGCCUCGCGGUCGAACGGAGUGCUUUCUUCCGAAGCCGGUCGGGGCCAGUUCGCCUUCAGCUCCUCGACGAUCGCCUCCUCGACGUCGGGGUUCUUCGACAGGAGCCAGAAGAACCACGUCAGGGUGGCAGCUGUGGUGUCGCGCCCCGCGAGCAGGAGGUUCUUCGCGUUGGCUUGGAGGAAACCAUCGAACUCGACGAAUUCGACCGAGUUCCGGUUGCCGACCGACUGCAGCAUGUACGUUGUGAGGAGAUCGGCCUGCUCGACCGCCUCGCCUUCCUUCAUGGCCUCCACCUGCUUCCUCCUCGCCGCGAUCGUCUCGUCAACGAAGGCAUCCAUGACUCUCGCAGCCGCCGCGAGCUUCCGCUCUCUCCCUAUUUCAAGCCACUUCAAUAUUUUCCACCCGAUUUUCGGAACGACGUGCCGGAAGAAGAUGGCCUCGGAGGCGACGUCCAGCGCCUUGGCGAACGGGACGGUCGGGAAGCCGUCAGACAGGCAGCCGGGGUCCACGCCGAGGACCAGCGCGCAUGUCGUGUCGAAAGUCAACCGCAAGAACACGUCUUGCAGGUCGACCGCCGCGUUCGACUCGGCGAAGCGGCGGAGAAGCGGGAUGAGGCCGUUCUCCACCUUGUCGCGGCUGGCGCGGAGCUCGUAACAUCUAAACCUGUUGUGAAACAACCAAAUAUUAUACUAUCUGAAACACUUGGUGUCUAUGACAGACAGGUUUAAGUUAUUAGAGGACCGUGUUUUUUGACGUUGCAUAUGCAUGCAAUACCUGCGGCUGGUCAUGAGGUUGUGGAUCAUCCGCCGCUGAGCGCGCCACGUCUCGCCGUCGGUGUUGAUCAGGCUCUCGCCAAAUAUCUCGAAGUUGUCGGCGAAGUCCGGGCCCUUCGGGUAGAUGGCGGAGUGCGUGCUGAAGACAUGGUUGACGUUCGCGGGGUCGCAGGUGAAGAGCAUGUCCAUGCGGAGGAGCCAGGGCCCGCGGAAGGCAAAGGACCAGCGCGUCGCUGCGAAGACGCGGACGCCGUGGUCGUGGAGGUGGUGGAGGUGGGCCGGGGCGGCGGGGAGCAUGCCGAGCACCGGCCAAUUCACGGGGACGACGCUGCAGCGGUUGACGCGGCGGAGAUGGAGGAAGAGGAAGGAGAGGAGGGGGAUAAGGAGGAGGACCAGUGAAGCGCAUGUAGUAGUACUAGUGAAGAAGCUAAGUGAGUUCACACAUGACCAAGCCCAAGCCAUUAUUGUGUGUGUGUGUGUGUGUUGAAGAGGGAGAGGGUUAAGUGUAGAGUAGGGUGAGGAACAAAGAGUUGGGCGAGGGUGGUAUAUAUAGAUGAAAAUUGUAGUUGCUAGGGACUCCUCAACUAAAAGCUACUACUCUUUGCAAGAAAAUUUCAUUAUAAUAAUGUUUUUUUAAAAAUAACAGGGAGCCCAAAUAUUUUUAUAAUAUUAUAAAUACUAACAUUUUAAAACGUAUCAUGAACUGUCUAAUUACCAAAUAAAUUUAUUGAAUAAUAAACUUUACUAUUAUUCUUUAAUUUUUCGACACUCUAAGCUUCGACAUUUUAAAAAUGUUUGAUAUUUCAAAAUACCAGAAUAUAUUUACUGACGUUUUGCAUGAACGUCAAUAUAUAUAUAUAUAUAUAUAUAUCACGACCCUUCAUUUACCUACACUUUUAAAUAUAACGGUAAACUAUUUUAAAAUAUUUUUAAGCAUGGUUAAAUAGCGAAACGAAUGCUUUUAAAUAUUAACUUUCUUGUAGUGUGACUCAUACGUAACAAAAGCUAUCCAAAUGCCAUGUGGAGCCUGCAGAGACCACGUCAAAUAUAUUUAAGCCAUGUUGAAAUAGAUCCCUUUAUUAUUAUUAUUAUUCGGAUAUAUAGAGGUGCUGGUUGAAGUUUUAUAUUAUAUAAUUAAGUUACAAUUAAAAUGAGUAGUUGAGUGCAGUGUCCAUAUGCUUUAAAUAAAUUAAUUAGCUGUCCCUUCUCUAUCAGGUGAACCAGCCAACUUCUAGCUAGAUUCGUGAUAACGUAGACGAAUGCGCAUGCAAUUAAUUUAAUAUACAUUCGUCCAGUUUAGCAAAUUUCUAAUGACAAAAAAUUAUUAAUCAAAAUAAACAAAAAUAGAUUUAGUCGCAUGAAAUAAAAGAUUGGGAACUCAAUAAAAAGUAGUCGAGAUAAUUAUACUGGGAAUUGAAGAAAUAGUUAAUAGUGCAAUUAAUCAAAUCAGAAUUGAAAAUUUAAUUUAGGAAAUGGCAAUCUACAAAUACAAAGGCUUUACGCAUUUAUAAUGUUCAUAUAUGUAGAAACAGUAAGAUUCAAUCGAAAGAUCAUACUUUUCAUUAAAUUGCAAAAAUAUUUGUUAUUGUUAUAUUAUUCUUAAUUCAGAAUAUUUAAUUAGUACAAAUCUCUAUUCAUUCAGGCUGUACUCAAACAUACGUUGCAUAUAAGUACAACAAAAUUAAUAUCUCUUAUCGAAAAUAUUUGUGCUGUAUUAUAACUUUUGUGAGAUUUUUAUUUUUAAUUAUUAAUUUUGAGUCCUUUUGUAUCGUUAGAUAAAUAAUAUCGAAAAAUCACAAAAAAUAUUCUCUAAAUACUUCAAAUACGUUAAAUCAAGUUUAUCGGAGUUUCAUCGAUAAUUGAUUCAAAAGUUCUAUUAUAAAAAUGGCCUAGGAGCGCAAAGAUCUCUGUACUCCUAAUAGUUUUAUAUAUAUAUAUAUAUAUAUAGAGUCCGGCUACUAUACUAUUGAUAGUACCAAGCCCUUGGUACUAUUAAGUUUUCUACCAUUAGAUCUACCAUUUGAUCAUUUCCACCCGUUAAAUUAUACUAUUAAACCAACCACCCACUCAACCCUAAGGGACAACUAUCAUCCUAACCGCACAUCCUUUUAUCCAACGGCCGAAAACUCAAUAGUACCAAGGGCUUGGUACUAUUGAUAGUAUAGUAAUAUAUAUAUAUAUAUAUAUAUAUAUAUAUAUAUAUACAAUUAGGCUACUAUACUAUCUAUAGUACCGAGCUCCGGUACUAUAGUGUUUGUUUUCGAUCUUAGGGCGUUCAAAUCAACGAUCCACACCGUUAAAUAUGAUCUAGGGUAUAUGAAUUUCUUAGGAAUAAAAUUUUAGUUUUUUUCGAUAUCGUUUACUUAGUAAAUAAAUUAUAUCAAAAUGGACGGUGAAAAUUGAAUAAUCUUUAAAAUUUAAGUAUAGGACUUUUAAAUUCAAAAUCAAGAAUGUUAACCUUAAUCUAUAUAUUUAAAGUAUUUUCUAUCAAAAUUUGAAGAAAUUUAGAUUCUUCUACACCGUUAAACUCCAAACUUGUCAUAAUAGCCAUUGAAAAUUGACAAUUUUGAAAUAGUUUGAUCAUAAAGUAAACUAUGUCGAAAAAAUAUAAAAUUUUAUUUCUAGUAACUUUAAAUACCCUAGAUUAGUUUUAACGGUGUGGAUCAUUGAUUUGAACGCCCUAAGAUCGAAAACCAAUACUAUAGUACCGGAGCUCGAUACUAUAGAUAGUAUAGUAGCCUAACUAUAUAUAUAUAUAUAUAUAUAUAUAUAUUGAAUUGAGCUUUUAUAUUUUUAAAACCGCCGGAUCAUCUUAAGAUCCAUGCAUCAUAUAUAAUUUUGACAGGUGACAACAUUCACAUGCAUGCAAAAAUCACGAGCAAUUUUGAUUAAUUUGUAAUUAAGUUUUCCAUAAGUACUUCAUAGAUGAUAGGAUUUUUAAAUAUAUAUAUCUUUAUAAUUUAUAAAAAUAUAAUACUUUGCUAUAUUUUUUACGAUAGAACUAAUUUAUACGGAAGUUACAAAUAGAUAUAACACUAAACUAUAAAAUAUAAAUUAUCGAUAUGUUAAAUCCACUACAAUAAAAACGGUCUAUAGCGACACUUUUAAAUAUAGGUAGAUGUCAAAAAAGUGCUGCUAGCUAAAAUUACCAACACUUUUAAAAAGUGUUGCUAUAUGUGAGGUCGCUAGGUAUAUAGUGACAGUUAAAGAGUGUCGCUAUAACCUAAAAUAGUGCUACUAAUUUACCAACACUUAUUUAAGCAUUUAGCAACCGUCGAAACUCUAUCUCGUUGGCUGCGGUGGCGAAGGAGGACGACAGGAAAAGCUCUUCGUCUAGAAUUUCAAUGGAUUGAGUAAAGAGAGAAGAAAAGAUGAUAAUUGAUUUUUUUUUUUUUCUAUUUGUAAUCGGGCCAAAUAGACUAGGUAUGGUGGGUUGAGUAGAGUAAUCUUUUAUUUUUGGUUGGAUUGGGUUUUAUAUUUAGGCAUUAGUAGAUGUUUUUUUAAGUUUUAGCAUAAAUGAAACACUUACUUAAAAGUGUUCCAAACAUGUGUCCCUAUAAUCUAAUUCUGUUGUAGAUAUCGUAGGAAGAGACAUUUUUAAGUUUUUUUUUUUAUUUUGUAUCGAAGUGGACAAUUUAUGUAGGUUGUAAUAAAUGGCGCACAACGGUGCUAUGCUCAACCAACCGUGUUUUCAUGCACUAACUAAGCUUUUGAACGGGGCCUUUUUAUUUAUUAUAUUUAAUAUUUAAUAGGUAAGUGCUAACACGUGCAUGUACUCCCUCAAGACUUGUGAUAGCAUUGUAGUCAGUGACCUGCUGUUUCUUGUUCAAGUAGCAAAGAAUUUAAUAGUUGGUAUUCAAAAUUUUAAAUUCAAAUUUUUACUUAAUUUAUAUUUUCAAAUUCAAAUCUUUACUUAAUUUAUAUUUUCAACUAAAUUUAUUUUAAAAAAUAAACGAAACAGAUGGCAUGUUAGUAUGCUACUUAUCUUUAUCUCUCUCUCUCUCAAACAAAAAAAAAAAACAUCAUACUCAGUGCGAAUUUAACACUAGUGCAUUGAAUCUAGAGAUGUCAACGGGUCAUAUUUUUGAAAAUCCGAACACAGAAAUGAAAUUAAAAUUCGAACCCGGCGGGUUUUAAAAAUUCAUAUCGUUAGAUGAAGAUCUAAUGAAUAAAAAUUAUUAAAUAUUUUAUAUAUUAUAUAAAUAAAUAAAUAUAAAUUAUGUAUAUAUAUAAUUUAUUUGGGUUCGGGUUCAGGUUCGGAUUCGGAUCGGGUAAAUACAAAAUUCAUACUUGUAUUCAUAUCCGUCGGGUUUUUAUUUUCUAUACUCAUAACCGAAUCCAUAUUCAUUUAGCUCGAGUAAACCCGCCCCGUUCGAGUUCGGGUUCGGGUUUGGAUUCGGAUAAUAUUUCGGGUAUCCACGUCCAUUGAUAUCUAUAAUUGAGUCCACAUGAGAUUAAGGUCAAUUUGCAUAAAAAGUUUAUUAGUUUUUAGAUUUUGCAAAAAUAAGCUAUCAUUUUGAGUUUUGCAGAUUGGGUCCGAAUAUUUCAAAAAACUGACCAAAAUAUUUUUAUUUUUUUCUCUCGUUCUUUUUUUUAUUCUCUCCGAAGAGGGUGGUGAGGCAGAGGCACUUUCUCUUUGUCGUCGACGGCGGUGGUAAAGACGGCAGAUUCUUAGAAGUAGAUUUGAUGGGUGAAAAAUUUACUGCAAUGGAGAUGGAAGGUGAAGGCAGAGAAAGAGAACGUGGUGCCAUACCGUUAUGGAAGGUCACGGAGAUGGUGGAGAAGGGUUGGAGAGACAAAAAAAAAAAAAAGGGGGCCGUGGUGCCGCCUUGGCAAAGUCAAAGGCGAGGAGGGCAGAGAGUGCACAGGCGGGCCGCGAGGGUGUGUGGGGUAGAGACGAGGCGGGCCGUCUCUGUCUCUGUCUCUGCCUCCCCCUCCCUCUUUAGAAAGAAUAAAAAAAAGAAUGAAAGAAAAAAAAAAAAAGAGAGAGAGAAUUUGAAAAUCGCUCCUCCCUCUUUAGAAAGAAUAAAAAAAAGAAUGAAAGAAAAAAGAGAGAGAGAGAAAAAGAAUGAAGAUUAUUUUAGUCAAUUUUUUGAAAAUCUAAAUAUGUAAAAUCUAAACCGGUGGCCUAUUUAUACAAAAUCUAUAAGCUAAUAAAUUUUUUAUUCAAAUUGGCCUUAAAUUAAACCCAUUAGAAUAUAAUACCAAAGCUUGGAGGAUCGAAUCAACGACUUAUAUAUGUAACAGCAAGAGAUUGGGAUUAGCUCUAAUCCAUGUCACCUAAAAGGAAUAUGAAAUUUAUGUACAUCUUGUUCCUUGCUAAAUGCCUCUAUACGCAGGGAUUACAAUACAUCAAUAUUGUAUGUCAAAAAGAGAGCAUAUAAACUAGUAAAUUAUAAUAAUUAAGACAAUAAUAUAAUUGUGAUUUGCAAAUAAUUAGUAAAUAAGUCAUAAUAUUUUCGUAGAAGAGGGGAGAAUUAUAUGCCUUAUUAAUUAAAAACUUAAAGAUACUCAAAAUAAUAAUUUUAAUAUUUUGAGUAACACUUCAAUACUAUAAAAUCUGAUCAUUUAUUUUCUUAAUAGAUGUUUAGAUUUAAUAAGAAAUUUAGAGUGACUACUAUUGAAAUAUAGUUACAUUCAUUAGGUCCUAUUUAAAGAAUAUUGGCCUUGUCUAAAAUUUUUGGUUUACAAAACCGAUUUUUCCAACUAAAAAUACUGUUACCUUUUCAAAUGCUUACAAUAAUAGUUGGAUUUCAAUUACAACCAAAUUGUAAAUUAAAUUCAAAAACACAUUUAAAACUUAAUUAUAAAUCAAAUUCAAUUUUAAAUAUAAACAUAAAUUUAAAAAAUAAUUUUUAGUUCUAAUUAAAAUUUCAAUUUAAAUCAAAAAAUUAAAAUUUGUCUUUAAGAUUAAAAGUUCAAUUUAGAUUCAAUUUAAAAGUUUAAUAUAAAUUUCAAAAUUAAUAUUUUACAUUACAAUGCCAACUUCAAAAAUUAAAUUUAAAUUAAAUAUUUUUUUUAGUUGAAUAAGUGGGUUACUUCAUGUAAAACCCACUUAUACUCUUUACUAAUUAAGAAUUAUAUUUUGAUAUUUAUGGUGUAUUUAUUGUAAAAAAAAACUGAAAAAAAUACAUAUUUUUAAUAUUUUAUAUUUAACACUUAUAUAUUAAUAAUAAUUUUUAUAAUGCGGCAACUUGAAUCCUUUUGUUAUAUUAUUAAUAUUUUAUUAUAAAACGAACACAUUUGCAUGCAUGUUGUGCCCACUUUUACGUACAGCCCCUUAUUAAUUAAGACACUUCCACCUAAUUGCGGCUACAAUUAAAAGGACUUGAAUCACAUGCAUCAUCAUGAUCUGAUCUUAAAAAAAAUAAUAAAAAAAUUAAGAAAAUCAUUUACUGUAUAAUCACCGACUUCGAAAUAUCGUGCCAAAAAUAUUACGUGCUGAAUCAAAACACACAUACUUAAAUUCUACAAAUUAAAAUCUUAAUUAAUCGGAAGAUAAAAAUACAUCACAUUAGAUAUAUCUCAAAUUUAUCAUAAAAAAUUAAUAUUUACAAAGCUAUAUAUAUUUAAUAUUAUCAGAACAGAUGCAUUAUAUUUAGUCAUAAUUUAAAUUUUGACUAAAUGAAAUUUUUUUAUUCUUAUAAUAUUAAAAAUAGCUGUGAGAACAUUAAUUCUCGUUAUCAUAAUAGUCAAAUGGUGCCUUUAAAUAACACUAUAUUAUAAUUAUAUUUGCAUUUAUUAAAAUAAUUAGCUUAGAAAAUAUCGUUCUUGUACAUUUGUAUAUUUAUUUCAAUCUAUUUGUUUGAGAAGAAACUUCCGAAUAUUUUCGUAAUAUCCAAAAAAAAGCGGCUUCAAUAAUGUCAGCAUGAACGCUGACGUGGAAAUAAAGGAUGCUUAACUACUGUGAUGUUACGUGUAUCUAUAUUAUCAGGCUACUAUUAUUAUUGUCAACGAGACCCAUAAAUAUUUCUUCACCAAAUAAAUAAAAAAAAAAGUGUUUGUAACCAAAAAAAAAAAGAAAAAAAAAGUGCUUUUAAAAGCUUAAACUUGUUAAUGAAUGGAAAAAAUAAAAAAAGUGUUUUUAAAAGCUUAAGUUGCCAUAGAAAACCAUCCAUUUUAGACAUUUGAAAAAAAAAAAUUUGAAAAAAAUAGUGUGUUAAUAAGCUUAAACUGCUAGAGAAUUAAUCGUCACAUUUGGGUUCGAGAUAUUUAAAAAAAUAUUGAAAAAGAUUUAAGAGUUUGAUAGAAUUUGAACUUAAAAUUUCUUAUUCUAAAACUAUAUUAAAAAAUGCAAAAUAAACAAUAUUUAUCUUUAAAAUACUCAAAACAUCUUAUUCAAAUAUCUAAAAAAAUUUUAUUUUAAAAAUAUUUCUAUAAAUAUUUAUUAUUAUUAAAAUCUAUUAUUACUGUUUGGCACCUGCUAAGUCAUCUCGGAUGAAACUCCAAUCAUGUCUCAAAUUAGAUUAAAAUGGGAGAACAAUACUAUUUUUGUUCUUUUUUAUUUAAUUAAUUAAUUUUUUUUAAUCGUUUUCUCCCGGGUCCCUCUCUAGGGUUUCUCUCCAUAUUUAUCGGAUCCUGGAUCCUUGCCAACGACAAUGACGGCGGUGGCGGUGAAGGCCCCUCUAGUGGAAGGCAAGUGAUUAAAAGGAAGAAGGAGUCGAGCUCGCGCGACAGCGAAGCCGAUCAGACCGAAGAAUUCUUAAUAGUGAUUGUUACGGAACGUAAAAAUUGUACGUUGUAUAAUUAUAUGUAAGCAUGCAAGAUCAGGAAAUGAUUCAGAAAUAGUCUUAGGAACGCCAUUACAUUGGAGAUCCUCGAUCGUGCCAGUGGGAGGGGAUUACAAAAACCCUGAAGAUUUGAGUAGAAAUGUUUAACUCAAAGAUUUAGGUUUAUUAGAGAUCAAACCAUAUAUUGAGUAGGGUUACUAACGAACCGAACACGACUCGAAAAUUGAAUGAAUUGUUUUAAUGUUGAAUUAAACUUUAUGGUGUCCAAAAUCCAGUUAAUAGUUUGUCUCUAUUUUUAAAUAUGUUUUACAUUAUAACUUGUGUAGCAGGUUAAAUUGAUCUCCCUACAAAUAGAAUUAACAUUAGAAUAAAUUUAUUUUAUAUUCAUAAUGGGUGUUUGGUCUAGUGGUAUGAUUCUCGCUUCGGGUGCGAGACGUCGCGAGUUCGAUUCUCGCAACACCCCUAAAAUAUUUUUUUUUUUCUUUUUAGAACUAGUUUCAAUAUUUUUUAGCAGUUCUAUAAAUUUUUUUAAAAAAAUUCAUAACUUAUGGUUUCUAUAGAAUUGAUUUAGAAUAAAAAUAUUAAAAUUAACACAUAAUAUUUAUCUAAAGGUAGAUCUGUUAUUCAGAAAAAAAGUUAUUUUUUCCUUUUUAAAAGCUAGUUUAUAUACUUUUUAAUAGUUUUAUAAUUUUUUUUUAAAAAAUCAUAACUUAGGAUUUCUAUAGAAUUAGCACUAAAGUUUGAAUAAAAAUAUUAAAAUUAAUAAGUAUUAUUUAUCUAAAGGUAGAUUGGUUAUUUUAUAUAUAUAUAUAAAAAGUUAAUUUUAACAAGUCAAUCCACAGAAAGGGUCUAUUUGCAAACUACGCAACAUUAAAGAGAUAUAUUUGACAACUGAAUUUUAUAAGAAUAAGCAUUCAAUUUCAUUACUUUGUAGGGACAUAUGCGCAAAUAAUUAUAAAAUAAAAAUUAAGAGCAAUGCCACGUGUGAGUGUGUAUAUAUAUAUAUUCUAGGGGCGAUUAAAAUUAUAUUUCUGAAAAUUUUCGGACUUUUUAAUUUAUUCCUAAAAAUAUUUUUUUAUGUUCCAAAGUUAUUUUAAAUAUACUACUAUAGUUAAACUCGAACGGUUACAAAUAGUUGUUAUUUCUGUAAAAUUAUUAUUUAUUUCUUCAAAAUUCAAAUAUAUCAUUCUCUCAUCACCAAUUUUUUUGAUUUACUUUUAAAUUAAGAGCAAAAUAGAUAUUUUGAUUUUUUAAAAACCUUGGUAGACAUUUAACUUACGUUUAAUUCGAGAUAACUUAAAAAUAAUAACUACGGGAGUAUUUUUGAAUAACAGAAAAACAUAUGAAGAAUAUAUUAAAAACAAAAAAAUAAAAAUAAAUUAAAUAUUUUUAAAAUUUUAAAAGAUAUAUAGAUAAUUAGAUCUCUAUAUUCUAAAAUUAAUUAUACGUUCCACCCACUUAAUUCCAAGAUAAUUAAAAAGGAAAAAAAUAUGUUCCCAUUUAUUUGUUACUACUUUUCGGAUGCACGCAAAGAGCCAUCGUGUACGACGUCACCGCUCUCGCACUUCUCCUCCCAAUUUUUUUUUAUUUUUUUUAUAAUUUUUAUCGCCUUUCUCCUCGUCCUUUCUCUCUCCUCCGCCGCCCCCCUCCUCACAACAAAAGCUAGAGAGAGAAAUUGAGAGGCAAAAUGUACUCCUCUAUUCUCUUUCUCUCUCUAACACUUCACUACCAUGAGCAAAUGGGCUUCGCCAUUAAUGCUCCUCGUGUUCGUAUUCUUAUUCGAAGUCGCAGGUAUUUGAUUCAUUGUUUACGUUGCUUGAUUGGUUUCUUUCAUCAGGUAUGGUUUUAAUUAGUUUUAUUUGGAUUGGAAAUUUUUUUUAUGCAAGUACGUUACCUUUUAUAAUUAUGUGAUAUGAUUUACCUAAUUUAUUCUGGACCACUUCCUAUUAAUUAGAUCGAUUUUUAGGUAAUAAUUCGUAUUCAAUUUGAAGCAUAUUGUCCUAAUUCUCUCUCUAACACAUCAUUACCGUGCACAAAUUGGUUGCCCCGAGAUUUUUUUUUUUUUUUAGAAAAAUAUAACACGCUAUCCGCUUUAUUCAUUGAAAUUAUGAACAAGAUUACAGAAGCGAGACAACCUUGGCCUCGAAAGAGAAAAAAAAGAAAAAGAAAUAAAAAAACGUAUUUUUUUUGGGAGAAAGAGAAAGACAGCAUGCUACGUACCACUUUAUUUUUUUUAAAGAAAUAAAUUUUCAACUUAAAAUUUCGAAUACCAACCAUCAAACCCUUUGCCGCUUGAGCUGGGAACACUCGUUAUUUUUCCGCGAUUGUGAACUUCGUUCUCUAGCCCCUUAAAUUUUCAUUUUGUAUUGUUUAACAUGUUGUCGGAGUCAGAAGAUUCCAAGUUCGAAUCCCACUGCACCCGGAUUCUCAUUUAAUUCAAGCCUGCAUCUUGAGCCUAUAAAAUAUUUUGGAGCCUACUUCCUCUAGUAGCUAAAGUUUUUUCUAGAAUAACAGUCGCUUCAGACUAUUUAAUAUAUUCAAAUUCACUGGUCAUUGAAUUGUGUUCUACUUUUUGCUUGAUUAAUUUCAUUCAUUAAUUAUGCUUGUGAUUAUAUUUGGAUUAGGACAUUAAUGACUUAAUUGUGGUGUUCUUAUUCAAAUUGGAGAAACAUAAACAGAUGGUUACGAUCCCAUGGACCCCCAGGGGAACAUCACCAUUAACUGGGACUUCAAAACUAUCACUGAUGUUUACACGGUGCGUAUUUGCUUUCGCUUUCUUAUGAAAACAUGUUCUCAUCAUUUUGCUAGAUCGAAAAAUGAAAUAAGGUUUUAGUAUAUACAGAAACUUAUUCUCAAAAUAUAUGCGUUACCUAUUUGAUUGGAAUCUAAGUGUAUUUAGUGGCUUUUUGAUCCUACUUUUACUUCUGCUUUAGUAAUAAAACUUCACUAUAGGAAUAAGUUCAGAGUUUAAGUACGUACGUGAACUAUCCAUACAUUUUACCCUCAGAUAAGUUACAAAAAGGUAAAAUUGGAUGACCAUUUUGCAUUCCUUCUAUGUUGAAUGAUUGCUCUCCAAAAAUAUCACUCUCUCAACGGUUGGCAAUAGAGUUGGUAAGAAUACUUUUCUAAGUACGAAUGAUCUGUAGUCGAAUCUUCUAUUUCCUCGUCGUACCUAAUGUUAUACCCUUAUUACGAUAGCGAAUCCUAUUUCUUUACAAAAUGAACUAACUCCUCUUGUAAUGCUACAAUAAAUAACUAAAUAGGUUAUUGUGAGCAUCCACAACUACCAACUCUACAGGCACAUUGAGCCCCCUGGUUGGAAACUGAGUUGGACAUGGUCAGGGAGUGAAGUAAUAUGGGACAUGAAGGGUGCAGAAACCACUGAACAAGGCAAUUGUUCAACAUACAGAGGAGACACCAUCCCGCAUAGCUGCGAAAAAAACCCUGUUGUUGUGGACUUACCUGCAGAUGCUCCCUACAAUGCCCAGGCAGGGAAUUGUUGCCGCGGAGGGGUGUUAACUUCAAUUGUUCAGGACCCAACUCGGUACAUGUCCGCGUUCGAGAUGAUCGUGCGGAAUCCGAUGAGGUCCAAGCCGUCGAAUUUCAGCAUAGGAGUUGCGGGCUACACAUGCGGCGAUCCAGUCGAUGUACCGCCGAGCAAGUAUCGGUUCGAUGGUCAGCGGUAUACGCAAGCUCUAAGUAAGUGAGGUAUUAAUUUCGGUUGCUUUUCUUUCCUGUUUUCUGAUACAUGUAAAACAUGUUUAUGGAAUGGGGUUAAAAGUUAAAGUGGUGUCAAUCAAAAAGAUUAAAAUCAACAUAAGUUGAUUUGUUUUUUGUUAAUUUUUGUGACAGAGACAUGGCAAGUUACAUGCUCCUACUCCCAGUUCAGGGAAUCUGAUAUGCCCAGUUGUUGUGUUUCUCUAUCUGCUUUCUAUUACCAGUCCAUAGUCUCGUGCCCAGAUUGCAGCUGUGGGUGCCAAGGAUCACCUGCUGCAUCACAAUGCAUCAGGCAAGCUUCUGAUGAACUCUUUCACUAUCAUUUUCAAUUACAUUGGUAGUCCCUAGACUUUCGAUAAAUUACAAUUUGGUCCCCGUAUGAGUGCUGUAGAAGAAUCAAGCAGCGGAUAGGAAUAGGGACCCAAUGCAAUUUAUCAAUGUUAAGACGUAGCCGCAUAAUCUUAAGCUUUCAUAUAUUGUAAGCUCAUCUCUGUUGGCCUAAAGAGAUUAGUAUCUUGCCCUGUGGCAGAAGGUUAGGUUCAGCCGAAUCAUGUUUGAAAUGGUGGGAGGUCGGAUUAGGCCGAAUUAUGUUCGAAAUGGCAUGAGCCUAAUUGGACUGAGUUAUAAUUAAAACCCAUAGGGGUUGUGUCUGUAUGCUUUAAAUGAAUUGACUGUGUAUUUCUAACCGUUCGAGUUUUUAGGAUUAAUUGUUAUUUCCAACGAUCCGAUAAUCUCUGGCCAUCAAAAUAUUCAAAGGCUUUCGUACAAGGACAUUUUUUUUUUUCUUUGUUCCUUGUUCUAUAUCUACUCCAAAGUUAAUAGUUCUUAAAUAUGGUUUUGUUAAUUUGUUGCAGUGAAGGACAACAGCCUAAUUAUUUACAGAUACCAAAGGCAAAGAGUCAAGAUGAGCCAAUAUCCCCAGUUGUGAUGUGCACACAACAUAUGUGCCCAAUUCGAGUACACUGGCACCUGAAAUCGAACUACAAGGAUUAUUGGAGGGUUAAAGUGACAAUUACCAACCUGAAUUUUGUUAAGAACUACAGUGAUUGGAGUUUGGUGAUGCAGCAUCCCAAUCUUGGGAGCUUGGCUCAAGUUUUCAGCUUCAACUUCCAGCCACUUUUUCAGAUUGGCGAAACCAGUGAGCCUUCCUUUCUUUUGGCAAUUUGGUGGUUAGUAGUAUGGAUCGUAAGCACUAACCAAUUAUUCGAAAAGCACACGUUAAUAGGAAUGACGCAUCCAUCGCACUUAGGGUUCAACUACAGUGCUUAUUGACUUCGACCUGGCUCAAUCUAGUUGGACGUUAUGUCUGUUGUAAACCGCAGCCCUACUUAAUUUAUUGGGCUCACCCAACUCAAGUUAUUAAUCUUUUAGACCUAUUAUUACGGUUCAGUAAGUUGAACAUAUUUAACUAAUAAUUAAUAGGAAACAAGUAGUAAGUAAUCUUAUCAAUUUGGGCCUGUUUGAUCUCAACUAGAGCUUUUAUGAAAAAGCUAUUUGAGUAGAACUGUUCGAAGAAUUAAGAGCUUCUUGUUUUAUCUAAAUUCACUAACAACAUUCCAUUGCGGGUGAUAUUGGAGUUUGAAUUUGGAGAUUCUUAAUGAUAUUUGGGAAGUUCAAGAAAGUCUUAAAGCCGAAAGUUUCAGAAUUACAACUUCUGCAAAUGUUUCGGCCCUCUGUUUAUUUUAUCAAACGUCUUAUUCCUACUUCGUUUUGCAGAUGACACAGUUAUGCUAUGGGGGAUUGAGCGAUACAACGAUAUGCUUCUGCAGUCGGGCGCGAGUGGGAACGUGCAGUCGGAGAUGCUACUGAAGAAGGACCCGCGCGAGUUCACCUUCAAGGGCGGCUGGGGCUUCCCGCGAAGGGUGUCAUUCAACGGCCACGAUUGCAUCAUGCCAUCGCCGGACGCCUAUCCUGCGCUGCCCAACGGAAGCCCGAGGAAAUUCCCUACCUCAGCAGCAGUACAUCAAGUGGUGUUCAUGGGUCUUUCUCCAUUGGUGUUGUAUGUUGUGGUGCUUUUGUUGUAGAAGAUUUUUAAGUUUCACUCUUCCACUUUUGAAUGUUGUUUGUACAAUUUUGAAUAUUUCAGGGAUAUGUGUGCAAAAAUCCCUAGAGACAUAGAGUGAAUGUAAAAUAUAGAGGAAUAAAGGUUCUAGGUGAAAAAAUCACCAUAUUUGCUUCUUCUAAUUAUUAUGGCAUUAUUAAUUAUGUACCAAUAAUUGUUCCCUCGUUACCAUAGUUGUUUCACUGUUGCAAGUAUAUUAAUCACAUUUCCUAAUUUAUUCAUAAGAAAUUUGUUCCCCUUUUAACAUACGAUUUUUAAUAUGAUUGUCACCUUUUGAAGGUUUAAAAUUUUUUAGAAUUAAGUGCUUGUACUGAAUAAAAUUAACAAUUUUACCAGAAAUAUUCAGAGAUUCAAUCAAAUUUCAUAAUUCUAAUUAUUUUUUAAAUAAAAUUAAAAUAAUUAAUGAUUAAUAGCUAAGGAAACUAUCAAAGUGAACAAAACAUUCCAACUUUAAAUGUAUUAAUUCUAAUACUCGAGACCCAAGUUCGAAUCCUAAUUAAUUUAUAUUUUCAGCUAAGUUUAUUUCUAAAUGAAAAAAACGGACGCUACAUGUCUCUAAAAAAAANUUAUUAAUGGGUAUGUAUAUUGCUGUUGUGUGGAUUGCUAAUUGUUGUCAAACAGUUGGUUUGGCCAUCCAAAAGAAAAAAAGCAAAAAAAAAAAAAACAGAAAAAAAAAAAAAAAAAAAAAAAACAAUUAAAAAAAAUAAAGUUCGGGCCUUGAGGGGCCUUUUUCAAAACAACCGAUAGUUGUUGGGCCUCAUUAAAUUUCCGUCUAACAAGCGUAGAAAUUGACGAAAAGUCCACGUACGGAGUCGCAAAAUCAUCACAGUACAGGGACUAAUCCAUACAUUUUACCACCCCAUAUCUAAAUUUCCGGUACAUUCGCCCGAGGCGUACGAGAACGAUACCCUCCAACGCCGCCACCGCGAUCGAUGGCGCCGCGCGGUGCGCCGAGCGCCGCCGCUCUCCGCCGCCGCCGCACGGCGGCGCCGCUCGCUUCCGCGGCGGCGCUGGUGAUGCUGCUGUGGCUCUCGCCGGAGCCCGCCGGAGCCGUCAACUCCGCCGCCGCCUUCGUCCAAAACGCCGUCUACUCCAAUCGCAUCGCCAUCUUCUCCAAAUCCUAUUGCCCGUAACCCUCUCUCUCUCUCUCUCUCUCUCUAGAGGCACCCUUAACUUUUCCUUUUUCGAUUGAUCACCUUAAACGUGUAAUUUUUUUUGAUUUGAGUUGUUCUGGUUAGUUAGAUCGAGCAUUUUGUUUGAAUUUACCGGUUCCAUUAUCUGUACAGUUUGGUUUUUCUUUUUGCAAAAAAGCGAUUAAAAUGGGUCAAUUGAUUAACUUAUUGAUCAAAAAAAAUGGUUAAAAGUAUUAAAUUUGAUGGCAUUGUUGAUGAAUUUGAUGAACUUUCUAAUUAGUUUGAGUAAAAUUAUGCAAUUGAUGGGCGAUAAUCGAUCAAAGAAAUAUAGUUGAGUGGGUAUCUGUAUCCAACGUUUUUACUUUUGGUUAUUCUUAUAAUAGUAGAUGUUUGGUCCCGCCUCUGCUUUUGCUUUCAGCUGCAGUCUCAUCUAGUAGAGCUUUUGACAGAUAUAAAAGUCGGUAGCUUCUAAUGUACUGCAAUGGAAAGCGAAUAUUGCAAAGAUCUAAAAUUAUAAGCUCUAAUUUGAAGCUUCUGAUAAUGCUGAAGCAAGAAGUUGUUCGGCACAUUGCAGGAUCAUAUACACAUAUAUGAAAAGAAGUUGGUUUAAGUUGAGUUUGAGAGUACAAACUCAUUCAAAUAACUUAAGAAUACGAUGAUAUUGGCGCCUUAUCUGGUUUUGUUAGACUUAAAUUUCUGAAUGUGGUGAUUGCUAUUUUUUUAAAAUUAAGUUGUAAAUGUUCUUACUAUGAUAGCUGUUGUCUUUUAAUAUAGGUACUCCAUCCGCGCUAAGCGCAUAUUUCGUCAACUGCAGGAGAAGCCAUUUGUUGUAGAACUUGAUCGCAGAGGUAGUUGAUCUGCCUGUUUUCUUUUUUUGCUAAUGAUGCAACAAUUGGGAAACUACUACCUACUUGUACUUUUUACUCUUUCUAAAUGUUUUUAAGAUGUGAGUGUUGGAUUAGCUUUGAGGCAUUUUUGCUAUAACCUUCCCUCUAUUGAAAAGAUUUUACAAACUUUUGUAGUACUAAUUUUGUCGGUUUUAUAUGCAUUGCCAGUUAUGAUGUAUUGCACCUUUUCUCCGAACAGAUCGAAUUCUGUAAACUUGUUACUUUUGUUAGCUGUGCUUUGGUUUUAGUUUUUGAUGGUUUAAACUCACUUGCUACUCGAUGUUAAUGAUGCAGUUGAUGGAUGGGAGAUCCAAAAUGUUCUUCUAGAUUUAGUUGGCCGAAGCACCGUCCCGCAAGUUUUUGUUAACGGCCAGUAUAUUGGUGGUUCAGAUGGUUUGUGUUGAACAUUUUCCUUUGCACUUUUAUUUUAGUAAACUGCUGGUUAAUUAUCCUCUUUUUUUGUCGUUUUAAACCAUUCAGAAACAGUCAAGGCACUCAAGAAUGGGCAACUUGAGAAACUUCUUGGGAGAAGUCGAUCGUACUAAAACGUGGUUUCAAGGUGAUGAGCACAUAAAAUGUUCUCUUGGAAUUUAAAAGAUUAUGGUGGGUAGGAUUGAUGGUGGUUAGGAUUGACAAGACUUCGUUUGUUGGUAUUAAUACUUGAAGAAACGUUUGUUUUUGAUGCCAUGAAGUGUAAAAAAUUUAGUGGAUACAUAGCGUGUUGCUUAUUUUCUAGUGUAAUAUUAGAAAUUUAGCCUGCUUGUGAUUGCUAAUCUCACUUUAAAAAUUUGAAUUCAGUCAUAUGUUUUUGAAGGAUAAUCAACAAAAAAAGUUUGAUCAAUCAAAUAGGAUGUAGAAAGAGCCUUUUGGAUUAGUUAGGUUCCUAUAUAGUAUGAUCUUUUUGGGUCUAUCUAUACGACAGGGGCUGUUUGUUUACAUGCAGUUGGAAAUGCUGUGUGUAUCAAUUAUAACUGCAUCAAUGCUGUUUGGCUGUAUGCAGUUGAUUAUACUGCAAGUAUAUUUUUGCACUAUAACUUUUUUAUUUGGGGCACAUUAAGUUGGACUUUUUCAGUUUCUUGCAUUCAAUUAAGUCCUUGUACUCCAGGAUUUUCUUUUUCCUUUUCAUUUUGUGACUGAAUUCAUAUCUAUUAGAUCUAUGUCAUCCCAUUAUAUAGACAGUUUCAACCUGAAAAAUGAGAGUCAGGUUACUGCAUAUUUUCCCAACUUCGCACAAGUACCAAACCCCUAACUUCCUAUAGGCAUGACUGCUUUAUCUAACAUCAUCAUAAAUACCACAUUGUCUCUGGCAUCAGCUGUCAAAAGCUUUGCCCCGACCUAGGUGCAACCGCGUCCUCAUGAUUGACCUGUACCAGCUUGUAGGCAAGAGCUCCCGUGACUGCCCCAAGUGUUGGUGCCAAGAAAUAUAUCCACAUCUGGGUGUAAAUCCCAGCAACCAAUGCCGGCCCGAGCGUCUUCACCGGAUUCAUUGAGGCUCCACUUAGUGGCCUGUUCAAACAAAACUAUAUACUCAUAACACUUUUUCUAAUUUAUAUAAUUACAAGGUGCCAAAACCACGUAACGCGAAAGAAAUUUGUUUCAACAAAACUUUCACAUAAAUACUCAAUAAGCUUAGUUUCUUACAAGCAUGACACCUAUGAAAGACUUUCUAAUUCAAAUUCAGAUGUUGCGUGUUAAUUUAUGACUCGUUGUAAGAAAUGCUGAUUUUAACUAAUAUCUAUACAAUGUCAGAAUUCGUAGGUCAGUACGUUCAUUUAUGUAUAGUGAUAUUUCAUAUGCACAUGUUUACGCAUUAAUAUGUACAUAUGUAUGUGAAAGAUAGCCUGCUUACCCAGCGAUCAGGGCAUUAAACAUUAUGGUUGCUCCAACUGCUAUUGCCGCCAAUUCUUUCACCUGAAUAACUUCUAUGAAUAACAAUUCUUUAGCUAAAGCAAGAAGAAGUACUCGCAGAUAACCUUAAAGAUUUUAAUGCUAGCCGGCAUAGGCGGGUCCUGCUGUGCCAAUAAGGUAUUGACAAGGUUAGCAUUGUUGCUAAAAUUUGAAAGUCCCUGUGCUGGAGUUUUGUCAGCACAGGGUUAUUGCACUGGUGACAUUUAGUGGACGCCGAACAUGUCAAUAUGGAACCCUAUUGAUCCAUGUCAUGGUCAGCAAGGAUCCACGCCCCAUGUUAAGGCACUUAAAACCUGUGCCCUUUAGUGCACUCCUAAGUCCUAAGUAUCCAGCAAUGAACUUUCUAAAAUAGGUGGGUUGAUGGGUAGUGGUUGUUCAAGUAAAGUUACUUGAGUGAGGGUAUUCUCUUGAAUAAACAAAAACCUUGAAUAGCAGCAUGCAAGGAUCUUCCUUAAGAAAUACUCACUCCUCGAGUAUCUGUGGUGACUGCUGUGACGACGAACACUAGGUUGAAGGUGAUGAUGAACUCAACGGCGAAUGCUCGUUGGAUACUAACAGUAGGGAUGGUGACUGCGGCAUAGAGGGAGGAGUCGAAGAUUUCCUUCACGACGAAGGCUGCAGUGAUGGACGUGACAGCCUGGGUGGCAAUAUAGGGGAGGACAUGGCCCCAGGGGAGGCGACGGAGCACUGCGAAGGCGAUAGUGAGUGACGGAUUAAGGUGGGCACCAGAGAUGUGACCUAUUGAUAGGACUACCGCCACGACCGCCAGUCCAGCGGCAGUGGCAUUGCCAAUUAGAGAUUCACUGCUGCUGUACUUCUGGUUCACAAUUGGGGCUGCAGUCCCAGCUAAGAUUAGGAUGAAGGUGCCCACAAACUCUGCCCCUAGCUGUUAGUUUUUGUAAAAUGAUCAGUAAUGUCUUCAUGAAGUGGAAUUUUUAAAUUUUUAUUUCAAACUCAUGGAGUACCAUGCAUCUUAUCCCUGUGAUGCAUAGACAGAUCUGAUUUUUACUAUAAAGGUGAGAGCUUUUGGGUCAAACUUCCUGUAUGAUAGAAAAUGUAUCCGAAUGAGCUCAGAAUUCCAUUAGGAUAAACAACUGAUGAGAUUUUGUCAAGGAUAAACCUAAAUACUUAAAUAAACCUCUAAUUGCCUAUAUUAUGGCAUUAACAUCAGUCCUGAUUGUUUAUCAUCUUUGUAGUAGAUGUUAACUUCAGAUUGCACUAAAUGACACGAAACAAGCAUGCAGUUUCGAUAUAUGUUGGAUUCAUAAGUUGGUAAGUUUUGGCGAAUAUCUUAUGUAACUAGUGUUAUACAUGUUAUAUGUUGUUGUGAAACGGGCUGCACAUGUGUACCUUUUUGAUGAGGGCUGGGAAGCACCUGCUGCAGAUCGGUGUCAAGUUCCAGUCAUAGGAGAACCGCGGCGUACCCUCGCCGUUUGAAGUUCCAUUCUCCAUCUCCGACAUCCUUCCAGGUUUGUAAUUUAUUUUCUUUUCAAUUUUUUUGUUUAAAUCAGAAAGAAAUAGUGAUUUAGAAUGUGGAGACAGAAGAAAUCACAAAACUUUGUGGUUACUAUAGAAGUAUUGGCAUAAGAAUUUAGUGCUUACUACUGAUCGCUUCAAGACUAAUUGAGGACAAAUAAUGAGGGGUAAGAUGGGUUUACUGUUUCUUCUUGUAGUAUUAAAGAGGAGAGGCAAAAGUUAAAUGUUUACGAAUCCAUUUUUUAGGAAUCGUAAGGAGUGGAAUGAAAGUACAAUAAAACUAGAGUAAUAAGGAUACUUCCUUGACGACCAAGUAUGUAUACUAUGAGAUUUUUUUAUAGGAUUUCUUUUUAGUUUGUCUUUGAAUGAAGACUUUUAAAAGGGCCUGGGAGGUUCUUUUCGAGGUUAGGAGUAUGAAGAUGAGAAUCUAGCUUUGGAGAAGGAAGUGAAUGGAAAAUAUUGGGAUGGCCUGGUGGGGGAAGGUCAUAUGGCUUCACCACAGCUUUAUGGUGAUCAAGAAAAGCUAACCGUUUCCUCUUUUGUCUUUGACACAUAAAUGACAUGGUGGUUAUUUUAUAAUCCAUAACAAGAAAUUUCUAAAAAGUAGCAAGAAUGAAGGGAAUGUAGAAGCUUCUGUAUCUGCUCUAUUUGAGGGUAUAUCGGGGAGAAUAGCAGAUCUAUGUUAAAAAAUCAGUUUUUCUCUAGAACAUUUAGCUGCUAGAGAACAGUGCUUUAAUAUUUUGUACUUACUGUUGGCUCAAAUGGGCGAGCAUCCUGUCCUGUGGCGGGAGGCCUUGUAGGCCGAGUCAUAUUCGAAAUGGCGUGAGGCUGGGUUGGGCCGAGUCAUGUUCAAAGUGGCUUGAGGUUAGGUGGGCCGAGUGACAAUCGAGACCCGUGGGCGCUGUAUCUAUACGUUUUAAGUGAAUUGGUUGUGUAUUUCUAACAGCUCAAGCCUUUGGGAUUAAUGGUUACCGCCAACGAUCCGACACUUACAGCAUGUGAUCUCAUGAAAAUCCAAAUGUAUGAUAAUAAGAUUCAGGUAACAUAUAGCAGGUGUAGUAGAGAAGGAAUUUGUGUGUAUUCAUCAUUGUACAGAGAAGAGUUUGAGAAUAAUCUGAUUUUCUUUAUGGCUCGAAAUAUUCUUGGUAUUAAGAGUGACACCAUUGUUUGAAGAUCUUUGCAGAGACAAAUUUCAGCAAAUUUUUGAGAUGGACGAAAUGUCAACUGCCUGAAUUGUUUGUUCCACUCUCAACAGAAAUAAGAAUAUGAACUAGAUUGAAGCUCUUUCGUUCGAAGAUACAUACUGUUUUUCAUUUUUUUACUUGUAUCUUUAUCUACGAGAACACUUUUUUACUGCAGUUUUAUUGCUAUAUUUGUCAAUUGUUGCUUAUUGUGUUAAUAUAAUCUAUCAUUUGUUGCUUACUUGAGCAAAGCACUGAUGAUAGAUUUGAUUGUAUAUACAUGUUUUUUUUGAAAGAUUAGGUAGCACGCUACCCGCUUCGUUUAUUUCAUUUAGAAAUAAACUUAGUUGGAAAUGUGAAUCAACUAGGACUCGAACUUGGGACCUCGGAUACUAACCACCAAGCCCUUGGCUCCUUGCUCUAGGGACGGUCGGUGGUUGCAUAUACAUGUUAAUAGUGGAGACACUUCGGUUAAUCAAAUAACAGAUAUUGUUUGCUCAUGCAAAUAUUACAUAAUAGUGAUACUUCCAUUCCAUUGUUUUAGUGAUAUAUAGCGCAACUGCUUAGUUUCUUGCAUAGUCUAAUAUAUAUCUAACUGUAUAUUUGCUGUACUGUAGAGUUAUUUGUAAAUUCAUGCAUACGACAUGAUUGAACUUGUGGUAAGAAGAUUCACACACUUGUUAUGCGCACAAUUCUCGCAUGAUAAUUGGAACCUCAUGCUUCUUUAAGCCAUCUUAGUUCUAUUUUUCUUUUUUGGGAUUAUAUCACUUGUUAAAGGACUGAAUCUUAGCGCAUCUAUUUUCUCACUGAGAAAAGUUGUUAUCUGAAGUUCGAACAACUUGACUCAAUUUAGCCCAACCCAAUCCAACUCAGAUUGAUUUGACCCAAGUUUAGUGCAAUAGAAAAUUUUGUUGGAGAAACCCAAUCCUAGUUUAUCUAACUACUAUCUUCAAUUACUAUCUUAAAAUUGCUAUUCAGAAAAUUACUAUAUUUCUACGUCCUAAAAAGUUUGUUUCUCGAACAGAAUUAAAAACACUAGUUAAGACAUUUUACAUUUGAGCAGAACCAAAAUCUUUUUCAAAUGCUCUGCCAAGGGCUCGUUUGUUGCAAGUCUUAUUUUUAGGUUGAAAAUAACUUUCAGUCGAACUGAAGUUCACUUCAGGUGAAAGUUAUUUUUUUAACCUUUUAGUUUAUUUAAUCAUAAAUUUUCACACUAGAAUAUAAUGAGGGUAAAAACAAAUUAAAAUAGUUAAUUUUUUUUACUUUUUUUUUUCUUGUUCUCUUCCGUAAUUGAGUUCUUCACUACCUAGACCGAGGCAAAUUAUAGUGUUUUAAAAAUGUAAAAGUGCAAGCAAAUUUUAUUUAUAAUGGACCAAACAAAAUACGGCCAAAAAUAAUUUUACUUAUGUCGACUCACCGUAAAGCAAAUGUCACAUAACUGAAAGCAAAAACCAAAGUAGGCUAGGAACGAUAUGAUAUUUCGUAACAUCCUAUGGAACCCGUGUUGUUAGUCCCCAAGAUCAAACUGUUGAUGAACUCUUGGGAACAAACCUUCUCGAUUAGCUGAGUCUAGUCUCCAAAUUUUUUUUUUUUUUUUGUGCCGUGUUUCGUUCGAGGUCAAGGAUGUCUCAUCCAUAUAGCUUAAUUUAUAUCCCCAAUGAAUGAAGUGGGUAGCGUGCUAUUUAUUUUCAAAAAAAAAAAAAACAAAACAAAACAAAACAAAAGCGAGCCCAAAAAGGCCUUAGGCCCAAUGCAAGCUCACUUGUGUACCCACACAAAUUUACAUAUUUGCCACCCUCAACAAGUCUCGAAAAGGGCUCGAACUCGCGCGCCGCGUUAUAAUGUUCGCCGCAGCAGCAGCUCGGAGCUCGUGGUGGCCGCGGCGCGCGCUCGUGAUCCGGACCCCGACCCGCGCCGCCAUCGCCGUCGCUAUGGCCUCUUCCUUCUCCGGCAUCGACGACUCCGCCGCCUCCGCGAAGAGGACUAGGGUUCCGGAGAGCUCGGACGGGGCCCGAAGCGCUGGAGCCGAGGAGGGGACGAAGAAGAAGGUGGCGGUGGGCACCCACAACGGGAGCUUCCACUGCGACGAGGCCCUCGGAUGCUUCCUCAUCCGCCGCACCUCCGCGUUCUCCGCCGCCGACGUCGUCCGCACCCGAGACCCCCAGGUCGCCGAAUUUCUACUUCGCUCUUUCCUCUCAUUCGAUCUUGUUUUGAACCCCUACAUCUCUCUCUAAGAACUGAAAUGUACGAGGAAUGGUCCCUGUGCUAUUUGCAGAUUGCGAUUUGGUCUCUGUUCUUUAAUAUCUAAUGUUCUUAUAAAAAGAUCAAUUGUUAGGGCUUCACUCACUUAAGACUUUUAUUUAUUGGCUAAAUUACAGAAAAUCCCCAUGUAAUAACCCGCUUUUUCACUUUUCCCCCCUGACAUUUAAAAAUUUACACUUUGCCCCCCUGUAAAAUAAAAAGUAUUCACAAGGGGGUUACGGUAUGUAAAAUGACCAUUUUGCCCCUCGCCAUUGUCGUCUUCUUCCCCAUCUUCCUCAGCCGCCCUCUCGUUCGGCCGCGAUUCCCACUCAAUCGGUCGCGAUUUUUCUCCAUUUCCUUCUCCACCUGCUCUCCUUCUCCUCCUGCAUCCUCGCCGCCCUCGAUUUCGGUGACAGUAGGAGAAAACCGAGGUGGGCGACAGUAGGAGAAGGGCAAAGAAGGCGAAGGCGAGGCGGAGGAGGACGGCGAAGGCGAUGUGGGUGAGGGCAAGGCAGUGGAGGACGGCUAGGCGGCAAGGCGGCUAGGCGGCGGCGAGGCGGCGAGCCGGAGGGAGGCGAAGCAAUAGGGAGAUGGCGGAGGGGUAUUUUCGGCAUAAAAAUAUAUUUUUUAACGGAACCCUAACGGUAGGGGGUGAAGUGCACAUUUUUUAUUUUAUAGGGGAGCAAAGUGUAGGUUUUUAAAUGUCAGGGAGGGAAAGUGAAAAAGCGGGUUAUUACAAGGGGGUUUUCUGUAAUUUAGCCUUAUUUAUUUAUGUUUU